rnacentral:rRNA from 1 species
UACGUAGGGUGCAAGCGUUGUCCGGAAUUAUUGGGCGUAAAGAGCUCGUGGGCGGUUUGUCGCGUCGAAUGUGAAAUCCCGGGGCUCAACCCCGGGCCUGCAUUCGAUACGGGCAGACUAGAGUUCGGUAGGGGAGUCUGGAAUUCCUGGUGUAGCGGUGAAAUGCGCAGAUAUCAGGAGGAACACCGGUGGCGAAGGCGGGACUCUGGGCCGAUACUGACGCUGAGGAGCGAAAGCGUGGGGAGCAAACAGG